UUGUUGAUGGUGCUCUUUGGGUCCUAUUUUUCAAAUGCCUUACGCACUGUAAUGCGUGUGCUGAACCAGAUGUGUUACUACCCAGCCCCUGGGACCCCUUUUAUUUGGGGGGUGAGGGACUCCCAUUUUUAUCCUGAAAAGUGUUGGUGGUCAUCAAAAAAAUCUUUCUGUCUCCAUGGAGACAGUCAUAUGAGCUUCUUAAAAAAAAAAACAACUGUUUAUUACAGGCACAAAGAAGGGGCAAAGACACCACAGCGCUGAAGUUUCCUCCAAGGCACCGGGGACUGGGCUCACAUCUGGGUCACAUGCAUGGUAAAGCAGAAUAGCGAAAUAGCUCAUCUGGAUAAUGUGCCUGCUUUUCCAUGGAUGUGACCAAGGUUCCAGCCUGUUCUCCACUGAGUUGGAAGAAUCUUUGGUGCUGGGGUCUAUCUACCUAAAAAAGUUGGCUUGGAGUGAAGUUUCAGUGACAGUCAUCGAACCACCAGGUUCCAGAUGCCAUCAGGAUGCCGGCCAGGCUUCCCUGGACUGAAGACCCCACCAAUGCGUCCUGGAGCUCUGCUUCCCCAGAGACUCACUCUACUAGGGGAAGAGAGAGAAAGGCUGGUAGUAUGGAUCGACCAGUCAAAGCCCAUGUUCAGCCAGGAAGCAAUUACGGAAGCCAGACCUCCCACCUUCUGCAUCCCACAAGGACCCGGGGCCCAUGCUCCAAGAGGGAUAGAGAAUGGGAAAGCUAUUGGGGAGGGGAUGGGAUAUGGAGAUUGGGUGGCGGGAAUUGUGUGGAGUUGUACCCCCCAUCCUAUGAUUUUGUUAAUGUCUCCUUUCUUAAAUAAAUAAAACAAAGAAAAAAAAGAAAUAAGUUAAUUGAUAAGGUCUUUAAAAAUCAAUAUAAAUUGGUAGGAUUAAUGUGGUUAUCUAAUAACAUUGGCCACACACUCUUCAGAGAGGAGAGAUGGUGAUGCAGACAGAAAAGUAAUAAUGCUAAAUAAACCCUUUUAUUUCAAAAAAUGACUCACAGGUUGGGGAGACAGCAUAAUGGUUAUGGAAAAGACUCUCCUGACCGAGGUUCCAGGUUCAGCCCCCAGA